AGUGAACGCUGGCGGUAGGCCUAACACAUGCAAGUCGAACGGCAGCACAGUAAGAGCUUGCUCUUACGGGUGGCGAGUGGCGGACGGGUGAGGAAUACAUCGGAAUCUACUUUUUCGUGGGGGAUAACGUAGGGAAACUUACGCUAAUACCGCAUACGACCUACGGGUGAAAGCAGGGGAUCUUCGGACCUUGCGCGAUUGAAUGAGCCGAUGUCGGAUUAGCUAGUUGGCGGGGUAAAGGCCCACCAAGGCGACGAUCCGUAGCUGGUCUGAGAGGAUGAUCAGCCACACUGGAACUGAGACACGGUCCAGACUCCUACGGGAGGCAGCAGUGGGGAAUAUUGGACAAGGGGCGCAAGCCUGAUCCAACCAUACCGCGUGGGUGAAGAAGGCCUUCGGGUUGUAAAGCCCUUUUGUUGGGAAAGAAAAGCAGCAGGUUAAUACCCCGCUGUUCUGACGGUACCCAAAGAAUAAGCACCGGCUAACUUCGU
rnacentral:rRNA from 1 species